GUAGGUGGCAAGCGUUGUCCGGAAUUAUUGGGCGUAAAGCGCGCGCAGGCGGUUCUUUAAGUCUGAUGUGAAAGCCCACGGCUCAACCGUGGAGGGUCAUUGGAAACUGGAGAACUUGAGUACAGAAGGGGAAAGCGGAAUUCCACGUGUAGCGGUGAAAUGCGUAGAGAUGUGGAGGAACACCAGUGGCGAAGGCGGCUUUCUGGUCUGUAACUGACGCUGAGGCGCGAAAGCGUGGGGAGCAAACAGGGAUUAGAUACCCUGGUAGUCCACGCCGUAAACGAUGAGUGCUAAGUGUUAGGGGGUUUCCGCCCCUUAGUGCUGCAGCUAACGCAUUAAGCACUCCGCCUGGGGAGUACGGCCGCAAGGCUG
rnacentral:rRNA from 1 species